rnacentral:lncRNA from 1 species
CUACAUUCUGGGUGCCAGUUAAAUUCUUAAGAGUAGCGCUUCUCAACCUUCUUGAGGGAUUAUGUGAGAACAGAUUCUAAUUCAGAAAAUCAAGGGGUGGCCCAGGAUCCUGAAGAGCUGAUGUUACUAGUGCUGGUCCCCAGACCACCUAAUCUCCUCUGUGAACUUAAGGGAAGAUGGCUCCAAAGAGACCCAGUUUCAGCUGAGCGUUUAUAAGAAAACAGAGCAAACUCUAAACAGAGUCAGAUUUUCGUUGGAUUUUGCUAUGGAUAUUUAGCUAAUUUAAUGUAAUUAUCGGAAAGAAGGCUCGAUUGAAUGAGUGGGAAAUUCUGAAAGGAGUUCGGUUUUUAGGCUACAUAGAAUCAUUAUCUAACAAUUAACAAAGUGCAGCCAGAAAAGGUUUCUUCUCUUGGACCUCAUGAAAUGGAGGAUCCCUUCUGCAGGGGCUGGAAUUCAUACAACAGGAGGCGCUGUCAGCAGCAGUCGAGCCUGCCUCUUGGAAUCACGUCUGUCUCACCCCCGGCAGCCUCGUGCCUCAAAGGUGGGAACCCACUGCAAACCCUGCUAUUUGAGCCCUUUGAUUGGAUUCAGAUGGCUUCUCUUUCCUUCCCUCCAUUACGUGAAGGGUGCUGUGCUGUGCUGUGCUAAGUCACUUCGGUCGUGUCCAACCCUUUGGGACCCCAUGGACUGCAGCCUACCAGACUCCUCUGUCCAUGGGGAUUCUCCAAGCAAGAAUACUGGAGUGGGUUACCCCCCACCCCCACCCCCGGAUGCCCUCCUCCAGGGGAUCUUCCCCACAGAGGGACUGAACCUGUGUCUCUUACCUCUCCUACAUUGGCUGGGGGGUUCUUUAUCAUUAAUGCCACCCGGGAAGGUGUGA